GAAAUUUUGCAGCUUAACUGUAACAGUGCCGUUGAUACUGUAGGGCUAGGAUUUGGUUGCUGUGGGUGGAAUGUGUGGUGUAGCGGUGAAAUGCUUAGAUAUCACACAGAAUAUCGAUUGCGAAGGCAGCUCACAAAGCCAAGAUUGACGCUGAGGCACGAAAGUGUGGGGAUCAAACAGGAUUAGAUACCCUGGUAGUCCACACUGUAAACGAUGAUAACUCGCUGCCGGCGAUACACAGUCGGUGGCCAAGCGAAAGCGAUAAGUUAUCCACCUGGGGAGUACGACCGCAAGGUUGAAACUCAAAGGAAUUGACGGGGGCCCGCACAAGCGGAGGAACAUGUGGUUUAAUUCGAUGAUACGCGAGGAACCUUACCCGGGCUCGAACGGUUCAUGAAUAUACAAGAGAUUGUAUAGUCCUUCGGGACAUGUAUCGAGGUGCUGCAUGGUUGUCGUCAGCUCGUGCCGUGAGGUGUCGGCUUAAGUGCCAUAACGAGCGCAAUCCUUGUCAUUAGUUACCAUCAGGUCAAGCUGGGGACUCUAAUGAGACUGCCACCGUAAGGUGUGAGGAAGGGGGGGAUGACGUCAAAUCAGCACGGCCCUUAUGUCCGGGGCGACACACGUGUUACAAUGGGAGGUACAGAGGGCAGCUAUCCAGUGAUGGAGUGCAAAUCUCAAAAACCUUUCUCAGUUCGGAUUGGAGUCUGCAACUCGACUCCAUGAAGUUGGAUUCGCUAGUAAUCGCGCAUCAGCCAUGGCGCGGUGAAUACGUUCCCGGGCCUUGUACACACCGCCCGUCAAGCCAUGGAAGCUUGGGGUGCU
rnacentral:rRNA from 1 species